rnacentral:rRNA from 1 species
GAUGGGUAGGGGUCCUGGGAGGGAGAUCCCCACACUGGUACUGAGACACGGACCAGACUCCUACGGGAGGCAGCAGUGAGGAAUAUUGAACAAUGGGCGCAAGCCUGAUCCAGCCAUGCCGCGUGCAGGAAGACGGUCCUAUGGAUUGUAAACUGCUUUUGUACAGGAAGAAACACUACCUCGUGAGGUAGCUUGACGGUACUGUAAGAAUAAGGAUCGGCUAACUCCGUGCC